GAAAUGACAGCUUGGCUAAAAAUGUACCCUCCACGCUAACCGACAUCGAGAUUGCCUUUCAAAAUGUGGAUAAAUGUGUACAGACAACGUGCUCCUGGACAGCGUAUGGCCUGGGAACCAUCAGACCAUCUACAGCAGAAGGUGCCAUGCGGUCUGUAGAUGUGGCUGAUGCAACACUCAGAGGUGAUGUCAUGGAUGUAUCGGCCUCUUAGAAGCCCUGCUGCGGAACAGACUGCGAGAGGGCGUUUCCUGUGUGAUUGGGUUAGAUGGAGAGGCGCAUUCAGUCCUGACCUGUUCCUUCUGACCAGUGGAGGAGGGGUCAUUGGCAUUGGGUGACCUGCGGCCAAGGUUAUGUGAACCCCCCACCCCCUGUGGUCCAACGGUGAAGUCAGAUUCCCUAACACGCGGAAAACAAAAGUGCUGCCAAUCACAGAGCCAGACAGCAUACCAACAAACAACCCAAGAGCCCCAUUUGUGGGACUGCAGAAUAAAAGGCUUAAAGCCCAUGAAGGGAGCUCAUACCCCACUAUUCUCUAUUGGUAAUGUUGAUAACCAAAGUGAAUGGACAGAGUGGCUUCCGUAUGACAUCAUCACAUAUGGUGAGGUGCAGCAGAUGUUCCCUUGAGCUAACAAACAAAAACACCACCAGAUAAAUACCAUUUGAAAUGUGUUUAAAAUCAGUAACAGUGGUUGUUAGCCUUAAUUGGUAAGAAAGAGUGCAAAAGGUCCUAUGUAUACCAGUAUUCCACAGUUCCCAACCUGUAUGUUUGUGUUUGUGUGUGUGAAGGAAGAGGGGGGUUGUAGUGAGGUUGACCAGCAUACGACCACAAUCUCAGACUGUGAGGUGACAUAGUUUAGACAGCCUCUCUAGACAAGAUCUCUUUGAUGUUGCUGGUCUAUCUGCUGAACGAUCAAUAGAUCCGUGGGUAAAAAAAUAAACCUAACAUCAAAGCAAAUGGGGUCCGCGAGUCACCGUAUCACGUGCUUGUGUUUUAUUAAUGCUGUGGCAAAGGGCUUUCCUUUGAUAGUGAGACCAAAAUUGCAAGAAGAGAAGCCAGAGAGAGAGCGAGAUGAUUGCAAGCAUAUCAUCGUAUCUUCCCCCCAGCAUUUAAUUAAUAAUGUUAAACUCAUUCAGGGAUUGGUUCAGUGAUUCCGUUUUGGCACAUGGAUUAAUUUAUUUUUUAAUAACUUCAUAAGUACAACUUUUUGUAUAACUACUAUAAAGUUUUAUUGGACUCCCCUUGAGGGAACAGGUUAUGAAAGCACAUCAUUACAUUGACACACAUUUUACAGAGUAGUUCUUUGAUAACUUAAUGGCUAGACUCCAGAUUUUUUCAUUUGAAUGCAGAUUAAUUGAUUCACAUCUUAAUGAUGUUUUCUCACCUCCACUGUAGGAAAGAGGAUUUAUGGGGAGCUUUUGGCAGUCAUGCUGUUAUGUAUGAACACAAUGGAGCAGCUUUUAAAUCAUUUAGGAUGUAAUACAGUGUUUUGAGAUGUCGGUGUAAUGAAUACAGAGGAUAAUCAUUGACUUCCUGUUCCCCUGGACAAAGUGGUGGAGCUACAUUGUGUCCUACCGACACGUUGUGCCUCUAAUUAUGAUAAAGUUGCUUGUUAAAGCUUUAGCAGAACUUCUUCAAAAGGAAAAACAAAGGUCCACAGAGGAAUUCAAAAUCUUUAAAGGGCACCUGAACCCCUCGGAUAUUGAGUAAAAACACAAAAAGAGGAUAAUUCUUCAAUUUUUAAUCACACAAUCACUGGUGAGCUCUGGUUUUUCAAUUUCAUAUCUUUGUUCUGGGGAGUGUGGCAGAUCAGUGGGCUUUAAUUAGUACCUACCCCCAUCAUGUUGGUCUGGGGUGGUCUUGCAUCAAAACUAGCGGGAUAUAUUGGGGGUCAGCAGGCAUCCUAGAGAGCUGAAUAAUUGUGUGAAGUGUACCCCAGCACGCACAUGCACACACACAAACACACACCUCCACCUCCUGACAGCUGCACUGUGUGUAUCACUUCAGCAUCCUCAGUGGUGCACAACAAAUAAAGCAGCUCGGUGUGUGUCCAGCAGCAGGGAAUCAUCUAUAUCUACCUGAGCUUUUUACACCUUCCUGUUUUUAUCCCACCCAAUCAAUAGUACCUCUUGCCGGACUCACGGCACCUUGUGUUUGAUGUCCUACACCAAACCUGUUUACCCCCUACCCCCAACUCCCCAUCACACUCUCACACAGACACCACACCACACCCUGUCUUUUGUUUCUGUCGGCUAUAACAGCUUUUGAAGUGUUGUCCUACAAAAGCCACCUCCAUUCCCCCUUUUCCUUAUAUAUAUAUAUAUAUAUAUAUAUAUAAAUAACUUGUUGCCCUUGAGCUAUGUGGUCAUUAACAUGAGUGGUGGCCAUUGCAGGCUUUUACACAAAUACAUACAAGAAUGUAUGCUUAGUCAUAAAUAUUAAUGCAUUUAAAAACCCAGGAACAUAUGGAUUGUAUUCAUAAUGCAUGGCCGUCGAGGGAGCAAAUGGCAACCUAAGUUAUCCUACACAGCUGCAUAUACAAGGAAAACAGAGCAUUAAUCCUCUUUCAGCGUGCGCCGCUGGGUAGAGCCUCCCUCCAGCUAGUGCAGCACAAGGCUCAUCACAUUGUCUAAUGAGACAGUCAGUGUUUCUAGGUCACUAUGUCCCGAGAAGCAAGAUGAAAGCUGCUUUAUUGAUCUUCUGAGAAACACAGAAAACGUGAGCUGAAGAGUACUAUAGUCCCCCCCACCACACACACACACCCCAACCCAACUGCAAGCGUAGAUGCUUGUGCACGUGUCUGAACACUCUCACAAACAUCAUUGCAAUAAUCUAGUAUGCACACAGACAUUCUCUAACACACACACACACACAGUCUGGAGCCAACUCCUCCCCACCCCACCUCCCAGCACAUAGGUUUCCCGCUAAGUGUGACUCUCCCCUUGUUUUUCCAACUAUUAGUCCAUUCGUGUGCACUCGAAUGGACAUGUGUUGACAUGAAGUUGCUCAGAAGGUUCUGAUUUGUGUCACAAGGAUGUUGGAAUUAAAAACAAACAAGAAAGGUUCAGAUUAGGUCUACAGAUGUUUUCUAGACUAAAUAAAUGAAAACAUAAACACGUGCAACAUACAAAUCCCUGAAACAAAGUGAUACAAUUUACAGGGUGUAGGAGAAUAUUGUGAAAUAUUUGCCAUUGCUACUUUUUACUCAUAUUUGUCAGUGCCCUCAUACAAAAGGCUCUAUGCAAAGGGAUUUGAAUGAACUUGUAGCCUUUUUAAUUAUUUCAUUCUUACUGUACUCUAUUUUGAAUAUGUGAAGCUGUGUAAAAUGUGAUAAACAUGAACGAGGAAACCUGCAUUUAAUCAUUUUAAUUUGUGUGUGUGUGUGUGUGUGUGUGUAGCAGGUAUAAAAACAUCAGUGCUGCUGAACAUAAAAACAUGAACGCUACACAUUUGCUCUGGAAUUUUAC